GACGAACGCUGGCGGCGUGCUUAACACAUGCAAGUCGAGCGGAAAGGCCCUGCUUUUGUGGGGUGCUCGAGUGGCGAACGGGUGAGUAACACGUGAGUAACCUGCCCUUGACUUUGGGAUAACUUCAGGAAACUGGGGCUAAUACCGGAUAGGAGCUCCUGCUGCAUGGUGGGGGUUGGAAAGUUUCGGCGGUUGGGGAUGGACUCGCGGCUUAUCAGCUUGUUGGUGGGGUAGUGGCUUACCAAGGCUUUGACGGGUAGCCGGCCUGAGAGGGUGACCGGCCACAUUGGGACUGAGAUACGGCCCAGACUCCUACGGGAGGCAGCAGUGGGGAAUAUUGCACAAUGGGCGGAAGCCUGAUGCAGCAACGCCGCGUGCGGGAUGACGGCCUUCGGGUUGUAAACCGCUUUCGCCUGUGACGAGGCGUGAGUGACGGUAAUGGGUAAAGAAGCACCGGCUAACUACGUG
rnacentral:rRNA from 1 species